rnacentral:rRNA from 1 species
AUGGCAGUCCACCUUCAAGUUCAACAACAAAAACACCUGAAUCUGCCGGCGGGGUUCAGGUUUCACCCAACGGACCUGGAAAUCAUCACCUUCUACCUAGUCCGCAAGGUUCUGAAGAAACCCUUCGACGUGAUAGUAAUCGAGGAGGUGGAUCUGAACAAAUGCGAGCCAUGGGAUCUCCCAAAUAAUGUUAAUAUGGGGGAGAAGGACCAAUACUUCUUCUCCAAGAAGGACCUCAAGUACCCCACCGGGGUACGCACCAACUGGGCCACGAACGCUGGAUAUUGGAAGGCCACUGGAAAGGACAAGGAGAUUCUCCACCCGCCGACCAUGAGUCUCAUCGGCAUGAAGAAGACUCUGGUCUUCUACAAGGGCAGAGCCCCCAGGGGGGAGAAGACAAACUGGAUCAUGCACGAGUACAGACUCGAGAUGGGCAAGCAACACACACCAGACCUACCCACCGACAUCGUGAGAGCCGCCUCCAUUAAUGGGUCUUCCAAGGAGGAGUAUGUUGUUUGUAGAAUCUUCCAUAAGAGCACCGGACUGAAGAAGGUGGUGACGCCUUCAUAUUCCAUUCCCAUUCCCAUGUCCAUGGGGGCAGAGCAACAACAGGGCUUCCUCGAAUCUAAUACACUGGCUCCUCUCAUGGACUAUGAUGUGCCAUCAUCAUUAGAGCCGCUGUCGCCGCUGCCUGCAACUUCUUUGUACCAGAUGCAUAACUUCGGGGCUGGAUCAUCUAUGAUGGGCAGUGCGGUGCUUCCAAUGAUGAACAACCAAUACUUUGAGAAUCAUCGCCACCAGAUGAUGGUCGCCCCGCCACAGUCAUCAAUGUCGUUCUACAACAAUCAGCAGCAGCAGAUGAUGCAUAUGAGUGCAGAGCAGGGCUUCAUGGUCGGGGUUGAUCCUGGGAGCGGUACAUCAUCUAUAGUGUCACAUGAGGAUGUUCUAACUGGGACGAGCAACAACAUUUAG